UACGUAGGGCGCAAGCGUUUGUCCGGAAUUAUUGGGCGUAAAGAGCUCGUAGGCGGUUUGUCGCGUCUGCUGUGAAAACCUAAGGCUCAACCUUGGGCUUGCAGUGGGUACGGGCAGACUAGAGUGCGGUAGGGGGUGACUGGAAUUCCUGGUGUAGCGGUGGAAUGCGCAGAUAUCAGGAGGAACACCGAUGGCGAAGGCAGGUCACUGGGCCGCAACUGACGCUGAGGAGCGAAAGCAUGGGGGAGCGAACAGG
rnacentral:rRNA from 1 species